rnacentral:rRNA from 1 species
CCUACGGGUGGCUGCAGUGGGGAAUAUUGCACAAUGGGGGAAACCCUGAUGCAGCGACGCCGCGUGAGCGAUGAAGUUAUUCGUAAUGUAAAGUUCUUUUAACAGGGAAGAAAGAGAAAUUUGACGGUACCUGAAGAAUAAGCCCCGGCUAACUACGUGCCAGCAGCCGCGGUAAUACGUAGGGAGCGAGCGUUAUCCGGAAUUAUUGGGCGUAAAGGGUGCGUAGAUGGCAUAGUAAGUCUUUUGUAAAAAUGCGGGGCUAAACCCAGUAGGGCAAAAGAUACUGCAAAGCUAGAGUAUGACAGAGGCAAGUGGAACUACAUGUGUAGCGGUAAAAUGCGUAAAUAUAUGUAAGAACACCAGUGGCGAAGGCGGCUUGCUGGGUCGAUACUGACAUUGAGGCACGAAAGCGUGGGGAGCAAACAGGAUUAGAUACCCGUGUAGUC